UUCAUUCUUAUCGAGCGAAGAGGAACUGAUACACAGAGCUGGAUCUCGGCCAGAGGGGGCGCUAUGAGCCUCUGAGAUUGCCCUUUCUUUCCUGUCCCGUGUCUCUUUUGACUCGUCUUCCCAUUCAACAGUGGAUGGUGACCAGCCAACAAGCCCCAGAGGAGCCGUGAGGUGUUUCUCACAUCCUCAUCUGCCAGGACACACUCCGCUUAUCAAGCCAGUCACUUCAGAGAAAGCCACCACCGUCGCCACAAUGAGUUCCCACAGCCGCCCAGAAGUUCUGGAACGGCAGUACGGACGGCUGGAGUGGAAGAACAGGCUCAUUAGUGCCACAGGUCUGCGGUAGAUGCGCCAGCCGUCAUCUUUUCUGCUGCUGUAGACUUCACUCGCAGUGUUUCAACUCAGCAGCUUCAGCAGUAGUAAGUGAACUGCAUGUAGUAACUACUCUAUUUUAGCUGCGUGGGUCUUAGUUGUUUUUGGGCUGACCAGUAAGUGGGUAAGAUUCAGUCGAUUCUGUAGCUGCUCUGAUUGAUUGAGUUAGUUAAUUCAGUGAAAGAUUUGACUGAUUCAUACCAGUUUGAAUGAUUCAGUAUAAGAACCGGC
rnacentral:lncRNA from 1 species